GACGAACGCUGGCGGCGUGCUUAACACAUGCAAGUCGAGCGGUAAGGCCCUUUCGGGGGUACACGAGCGGCGAACGGGUGAGUAACACGUGGGUGACCUGCCCUCAGCUCUGGGAUAAGCCUGGGAAACCGGGUCUAAUACCGGAUAUGACUCCAUGACGCAUGUUGUGGGGUGGAAAGCCUUGUGCGGCUGAGGAUGGGCCCGCGGCCUAUCAGCUUGUUGGUGGGGUGAUGGCCUACCAAGGCGACGACGGGUAGCCGGCCUGAGAGGGCGACCGGCCACACUGGGACUGAGACACGGCCCAGACUCCUACGGGAGGCAGCAGUGGGGAAUCUUGCGCAAUGGGCGAAAGCCUGACGCAGCGACGCCGCGUG
rnacentral:rRNA from 1 species